rnacentral:rRNA from 1 species
AUACGGAGGGUGCAAGCGUUAAUCGGAAUUACAGGGCGUAAAGCGUACGUAGGCGGUUAUUUAAGUCAGAUGUGAAAGCCCCGGGCUUAACUUGGGAACUGCAUUUGAAACUGGGUAACUAGAGUUUAGUAGAGGGGAGUGGAAUUUCAGGUGUAGCGGUGAAAUGCGUAGAGAUCUGAAGGAACACCAGUGGCGAAGGCGACUCCCUGGACUAAAACUGACGCUGAGGUACGAAAGCGUGGGUAGCAAACAGGAUUAGAAACCCUAGUAGUCC